rnacentral:piRNA from 1 species
GAGCUACUCCUAGAUCUACUGCCUGC